GUGGGGAAUAUUGCACAAUGGGGGAAACCCUGAUGCAGCAACGCCGCGUGAGUGAAGAAGUAUUUCGGUAUGUAAAGCUCUAUCAGCAGGGAAGAAAUUGACAGUACCUGACUAAGAAGCCCCGGCUAACUACGUGCCAGCAGCCGCGGUAAUACGUAGGGGGCAAGCGUUAUCCGGAUUUACUGGGUGUAAAGGGAGCGUAGACGGUUAUGCAAGUCAGAAGUGAAAGCCCAAAGCUCAACUUCGGGACUGCUUUUGAAACUGUGUAACUAGAGUGCAGGAGGGGUAAGCGGAAUUCCUAGUGUAGCGGUGAAAUGCGUAGAUAUUAGGAGGAACACCGGCGGCGAAGGCGGCUUACUGGACUGUAACUGACGUUGAGGCUCGAAAGCGUGGGGAGCAAACAGGA
rnacentral:rRNA from 1 species